rnacentral:rRNA from 1 species
AUUGAACGCUGGCGGCAUGCCUUACACAUGCAAGUCGAACGGUAACAGGUUAAGCUGACGAGUGGCGAACGGGUGAGUAAUACAUCGGAACGUGCCCAGACGUGGGGGAUAGCUCGGCGAAAGCCGGAUUAAUACCGCAUAAGCUCUGAGGAGGAAAGCGGGGGACCGUAAGGCCUCGCGCGUUUGGAGCGGCCGAUGGCAGAUUAGGUAGUUGGUGGGGUAAAGGCUUACCAAGCCUACGAUCUGUAGCUGGUCUGAGAGGACGACCAGCCACACUGGGACUGAGACACGGCCCAGACUCCUACGGGAGGCAGCAGUGGGGAAUUUUGGACAAUGGGCGGAAGCCUGAUCCAGCAAUGCCGCGUGCAGGAUGAAGGCCUUCGGGUUGUAAACUGCUUUUGUACGGAACGAAAAGGCGCCUACUAAUACUGGGUGUUGAUGACGGUACCGUAAGAAUAAGCACCGGCUAACUACGUGCCAGCAGCCGCGGUAACAC